rnacentral:rRNA from 1 species
AACGCGAAGAACCUUACCAGGUCUUGACAUCCCUCUGAAUCACCUAGAGAUAGGUGCGGCCUUCGGGACAGAGGAGACAGGUGGUGCAUGGUUGUCGUCAGCUCGUGUCGUGAGAUGUUGGGUUAAGUCCCGCAACGAGCGCAACCCUUGAAUUCAGUUGCCAGCACUUCGGGUGGGCACUCUGAAUUGACUGCCGGUGACAAACCGGAGGAAGGCGGGGAUGACGUCAAAUCAUCAUGCCCCUUAUGACCUGGGCUACACACGUACUACAAUGGCCGGUACAACGGGCAGCGAUACCGCGAGGUGGAGCCAAUCCUUAAAAGCCGGUCUCAGUUCGGAUUGCAGGCUGCAACUCGCCUGCAUGAAGUCGGAAUUGCUAGUAAUCGCGGAUCAGCAUGCCGCGGUGAAUACGUUCCCGGGCCUUGUA